AGCUCAGGGAUACACACAGUGGACUUUUGGGCCUCCAGCACUAUGAACUGAGCUCAUUCCACGGAGUUUACACAGCAAGCAUUUUACCAACGGAUCCAUGUGGCUUGUGCCAAGCCCCCAUCAACACUGAUGACUUGCUGUAAUACUCAGACCAGUUCAGAGCCUCAUUUCUUUUGCUUCAUUAUCCUGGAAAAUGCCUGUCAUGUGAGGGCCUGAAGCACCUGUGAGAUCUGUCAAGCAAUCCCGGAACUGAAGAGGAUGUUCACCAUGGCCUUCCAUGUUCCUGCUCUUACUGUGUUAUGAAUCAAACCUGCUGCCUGGAGAAAGCUGCCAAUCAAAUAUGAUGACAUCAACAAGCCCCCGUGUGGUAGAACUGAGAGGUAGGACAGAAAGCGAUUCAUUUACGAUUGUUCCACGGCUACAGGAAAACCUCAGAAAGAGAUUGCCUUUCCUUCCCUGUCUUCUGACAUGUGAGCUAAGUCAGCAACACCAGUGACAACAGCCUGACCUUGGACCUUUAGACCAGUGAGUAGUUGACGUCUGUGCUUUAUAAAC